AAUGGUCUUUUUAGACCCUUAAUUUAUGUUUAAUAAAAGAAUGAUUUUAAGGAAAAGAGAAUUAUUUUUCUAGUUUUCCUUCAGCCCUAAAACCGUACCCCUCCUCUCCUCUUCACUUAUUUCUUAAAUGUUUAGAUUUUUGUAGAUUGUUCUUGAAUUGAAGGUUUUGUAAAGUUGAAUUUCUUGUGGAUAGAAGCUUGAAGUUGUGGAUUACCGGCACCUGGUCAGGAGCACCCGGGGAUUUGGAAUCUCUACUAUUGCGGGACAACAGGAAAGGGUAAGGCAUUAGCUGAUCUGCCAUGAGUUUCAGGAGCAGACGAAGAAUGUACAUGUUCACGCCACUUCAGACCAAGCGGGUUAUGGGUCUAACAGUGUUGACUUUUGUAUUCUGUUUUGCCGCUUAGGUCGGCUAGUAAGAAAGAACUUGUAAUAAGUUGUAAAUAUUUUUGGGAUCCCAACUAUUUUGAAAAGUUUAAAUAUAUUACAAGUUUUAUUUUCA